UACAGAGGGUGCAAGCGUUAAUCGGAAUUACUGGGCGUAAAGCGCACGUAGGUGGCUGGGUAAGUUGGAUGUGAAAUCCCCGGGCUUAACUUGGGAAUUGCAUUCAAGACUGCCUUGCUAGAGUGUGGAAGAGGGAAGCGGAAUUCCAGGUGUAGCGGUGAAGUGCGUAGAUAUCUGGAGGAACAUCAGUGGCGAAGGCGGCUUCCUGGUCCAACACUGACACUGAGGUGCGAAAGCGUGGGGAGCAAACAGG
rnacentral:rRNA from 1 species